rnacentral:rRNA from 1 species
GAUGAACGCUGGCGGCGUGCCUAAUACAUGCAAGUCGAGCGAACGGACGAGAAGCUUGCUUCUCUGAUGUUAGCGGCGGACGGGUGAGUAACACGUGGAUAACCUACCUAUAAGACUGGGAUAACUUCGGGAAACCGGAGCUAAUACCGGAUAAUAUUUUGAACCGCAUGGUUCAAAAGUGAAAGGCGGUCUUGCUGUCACUUAUAGAUGGAUCCGCGCUGCAUUAGCUAGUUGGUAAGGUAACGGCUUACCAAGGCAACGAUGCAUAGCCGACCUGAGAGGGUGAUCGGCCACACUGGAUCUGAGACACGGUCCAGACUCCUACGGGAGGCAGCAGUAGGGAAUCUUCCGCAAUGGGCGAAAGCCUGACGGAGCAACGCCGCGUGAGUGAUGAAGGUCUUCGGAUCGUAAAACUCUGUUAUUAGGGAAGAACAUAUGUGUAAGUAACUGUGCACAUCUUGACGGUACCUAAUCAGAAAGCCACGGCUAACUACGUG